GUCCACGCCCUAAACGAUGUCUACUAGUUGUCGGGUCUUAAUUGACUUGGUAACGCAGCUAACGCGUGAAGUAGACCGCCUGGGGAGUACGGUCGCAAGAUUAAAACUCAAAGGAAUUGACGGGGACCCGCACAAGCGGUGGAUGAUGUGGAUUAAUUCGAUGCAACGCGAAAACCUUACCUACCCUUGACAUGGCAAGAAUCCCUGAGAGAUUGGGGAGUGCUCGAAAGAGAGCUUGUACACAGGUGCUGCAUGGCUGUCGU
rnacentral:rRNA from 1 species